AACAAGUCCUGGCAGGAUCGGCGUUGCUGGCUUUGAAGGUGAGGGAAGGCGCCAAGAGCCAAGGAACGCAGGACGCCUCUAAGCUGCAAGAGGCGAGGAAUCAGAUUCUCCCCCUGGAACCUCCAGAAAGAACGCGGCCCCGUCAGCACCUUCAGUUUAGCCCGAGGAGCCCUGGAUUGGACGUCUGACCUCCAGAACUGUAGGAGGUGCUCACGUGCGGUGAGGUGUCGCCUGACUCCGGGCUGGCAGGUGGCCUUCGUCUCCGUGAGUCAGAAGGGCAUCAAACCACGACCUGAGGUUUAACUGCAAAGCCCUGCUCCUGGCAGUGAGCAGGUUCUCCUCCCCACCCAUCCCCUUCCCCUCUGAGUUUCAUUUUACUCGUCCAGUCCCAACAGAAGGCUCUUCGUAAGGAAAAGGAUCCUGAGAUGCGUUGUUUCCCGUCUACGCUGAGAUGCUUCCCAGUAGGAGGGGCACAAUGAUAGGAUUCUGUGGGUGGGUUGCUCUAGGACAGUGGUUCUCAACCUGAGGCGAUCCAAACGCCCUCCCCACCCCCUUCUAGGGGGACACGUGGCAGCUACAGGAGCCGAGGUUGCCUGUCAUGACUGUGGAGGGGUGCCGCCAGCAUCUGGGGUCUAGGCCCAGGAAGCUGGCAGACACCCCACAUGGCACAGGACAGCCCCCUGCAACGCAGAAUGACCCAGUCCAAAUGUCAACAGUGCUGAAGAUGAGAAUCUCGGGGCUAGCGAAACUGGGAAAGAUGGAGAAGGGAGAAAAUGAAUGGAGGGCACUGCCUACCUAUGUCCAUCUGGUACCUCUCACCUAAGAAACAACAUAGCAACUUUUGUCUUUUUUGAUGCCGAUUCUCCUCUACUGAUUACGCUUUAUUAUUCCUGAAGACUUGGGUGUGUGACUUAAAUAACCCCCCGUUAGACACAAGCACAACAGAAUAAAUGAAAACUGGAGGGCAAAUUCUAACAUGUACUGUAACUAUAAGAACAUUCUUUCUAAGGCUUGAAAAAGUCUUCAGAUCCUUGGUUUAAUUUAAUCGACAAUGCGUUCAUCUGCAUAUGGCAUUCAGCAGCAAAAUAAACUUUUUUUCCUGCGUCUUUUGUUUCCAAAUCAAUGGGGAACAAAGGAUAUCCUGGUUCCAUUCAGGCAGUUUCAAUGAUUCUCAAACGUGGGAGUAAUAGUCGAGCCAUUUAAAAUACAGUGAUGAGAAAGCAUCCUUAGUAACCUUGUAAACAUGCUAUGAAAGUACAAGGGAACCUUUAAGAAGAAUAUCCAAGUGUCCUUUUUAUAUAAUAGCCCUUUGUACUAUGAAAUGUUCAGAGGUCCAUAAAAUGGAAUUGAACAGAACAGACUAGAAGAAUGCAAUUUCCAAGUUUUCUAGUAAUGGUGCUGUUAAAACAUUAUUUUUGUUUCUUAACACUCAGAAAAUUAUGUUUCCUCACCCCAGGAUCAGCCCUACUCACAGAAGGGACUUUGGACCCAUAUUUAACCAUCCGUCAGAAGGGAUUCAAAAGGAGGCUAAUUGAACACUGAGGUUUUUGAAGCUCUCAAACGAUGACCCAAGUGUUUUCUUGAAAACAGCAGCAGCUUGGCAGGAAGCAGGAAUCAGACAAGAGAAUUGAUGGAAACCUGCCCUCCAAAUGGGAAGAAAAACUUCCAAUAACAAACUGUGAGGUUUGAAAUCACUGCGUGUUAUACUAUUCAUUAUUCAAACGGCCACCAGACUUAUUACCUGGCAUUUUCUCCUGCUUCUGAGCUGCCCCAAGACACGCACCUUAGUAAGGAUGAUCCCCCCUUCUGAGGAAAGGGAAACGCUCUUUGUCUCCCCAUUUUGCCCCCUUCUAUCUGCAUUCUCUCUCUCUGUUCUAGCUGCAUGUUUUGCAAUCCCCUCCAGUGUUCCAAAGGCCAAUGAAGUCAGUCUCCCAUAAGGGUACUCAGCCGAGUACAUUCACUGCUCAACUGUAUUUUUCUCUUUCUUAGCCCUUUCACCCACUGAUUUCAAAUUUCUCUUUAAUAGGCCAGCUAUGGCAGACCUCAACCGAAUAAGUUAAGAAAAGGCAAGCCAGGAAGCCACACAGGCACGCAUUUCCCUUGAGCAACAUCAGAUGAGAAAGCAAUCGCUUUUCCACUGCAGGGGAAACAGAGAAACAGGAAACCCAGAGGCAACGACUUGCUUGGAGGCCUCCAAGAAUUCAACAAUUACGUUCAACAGACUAUGUCAAAUACCUACCAAGUGCUGGGCACUAGGAUACAAAAAGGAGUAGUCAUCAGUGCUGGCUGGCUCCAAAUGAAGACUAGACACACACUUAAAGGACCAGAAAAGCAGGGACACCAUUACAACCCCUCUUGCCCACCAAAGGAGACAACCAGAAAAUUCAGAAAAGCUAUUUUUAACAUGCUGUUAGCAAGCAGGAUGCAAGCAAAGCCUUGGGCCUUCCUCUGUUUGCAUAUCCACCAGUGCCGUGAGAAGAACAUGCCUGUUCAUUCAAGGAGGAUGAGAGACACCUACAGCUGACCCUGAUGCAACCCACACCUUGAAGCCCAGCCCAGACAGUCUAGAUCAUCUGAAAACCAACCAACUUACAGAUACUUUUAUGAGAAAAUGGAAGAUAAGUGACUUACCCAAGAUUCCACAACUUGUAAGUGACAAAGCUGGGAUUCAAACCUAGGCUGUCUGGUUUCAGAGCUCACACUCUUUCCCACCUGGAAGACAGACAUGUUGACAGGGAAUUUGCAGAGUAAAAGGGGCAGCAAUCUUAACGAACAAGACAAGUCAAUAAUUAAACCAUGGGCAGGACUAUGAUUGAAAAGAACAGGAAACAAGGGUUAAGAAUAAUAGAAACUGGGCUUCCCUGGUGCAGUGGUUACGAAUCCUCCUGCCAAUGCAGAGGACACUGGUUCAAGCCCUGGUCCGGGAAGAUCCCACAUGCCACGGAGCAACUAAGCCCGUGCGCCACAACUACUGAGCCUGCGCUCUAGAGCCCGCGAGCCACAACUACUGAAGCCCGCGCGCCUAGAGCCCGUGCUCCACAAUGAGAGAAGCCACCGCAAUGAGAAGCCGGCGCACCCCAACGAAGAGUAGCCCCCGUUCGCCGCAACUAGAGAAAGCCCGUGCGCAGCAACGAAGACCCAACGCGGCCAAAAAUAGAUAAAUAAAAAUAAAUUUAUUUUUAAAAUAAUAAUAAUAAUAUAGGAAAAUAAAUAUGUUUCAAAUAAAGAUGUUAUUUGGAGGAUUUUGUGAUGUCAGCGAUAUUUUCAGCUUUAAAAAUUGGAUAAUUUGUAGUAUAUUCUUUUAUUCCAAAUAAAUACCAACUUUUAUAACUUUUUUCAUAACUUUUCUACAUCCUUUCUCUUAAAGCCCCCCAAUUUUAUAACCUUCAAGGCCUACCAACCUGGAACCAGCUCUGAUUAAGCAUCUAUUAUAGGAGCCAGGCAUAUCUAGAUGCUAGAAAUACAACAUUGAAUGGAAAAGACACUGGUGGUUUUAAAAUGUCUACAAGAGAAGAAUCUGAAAAAGAAUAUAUAUGUGUCUAACUGAAUCACUUUGCUCUACACCUGAAACACUGUAAAUCAACCGUACUUCAAUAAAAGAAAUUUUUUUAAGUGUAAACAUAUUGGGGGAAAAUAUUCUGUGACACCCCCCCUUCAAAAGGCAGAAGCCUCUCCCUUUGAGCUUAGGCUGGACCUCAUGGCUUGUUUCUAAGGAGUAGAAUAUUGUGCAGAUGACACCGAGCAACAUCCAAGACUAGUCAGAAAACACACUGCGGUUUCCUCCUUGCUCUUUCCCUCUGGAAGGCAACCGCCAUGUCCUGAGAACAUUCAAGCAGCAUUAUGGAAAAGUCCACAUGGGGAGGAACUGAGGCCUCCAGCCAGCAGCCCUGUGAGCUCCAUCUGAGAAGCAGAUCCUCCAACUCCAGCCAAGCCUUUAGAUGUUGGCGGCCUCGACCAACAUCCUGACUAUAUCGUGACUACUUACAAGAAACCUUGAGCCAGACCCACCUGUCCAGACUGCUCUCAGUUAUUCCUGACCUCAGAAAUGGUGUGAGAUGAGAAAUGUUUGUUAUUUUCAGCUGCUGAGUUUUGGGGUAGUUUGUUACACAGCAAGAGAUAAAUAAUACACCACCAAAAGUCCUGUUUUCAUGAUUCUUACAUUCUGAUGUUUGUUUAGGGGCAAUGAAUAAAUGUUUUUUGAGGAAACGAUGAAUGACAGUAAAUCUAAUAAAUGUAUCAGA